CGGAGAGCCCCGGUUGUGCACAAACAGGGUUCCACCUCAUCAACGGUCAGUCUCCUGACUCCUGAGCACCCCUUUCAAGGUGAAGGUUCAUGAUUCUGCAAUAACGAGGACAUAAACACAGCAGCUAUGACAGGAUGUACUGCGUCAGGGAGCAGGCUACAAACCCACAUUCUGCGCAUAGAGAACAAGAGGCAUAGCUGUGUCCCAGGCGCCACUCCUCCUCCCAGCGUCUGUGAGGAGAAAAGACUAGAUGGAGCCAGCCAGGAGAGCAGAAGAUGUGGCUGCAGUUCAGCAGGCAGCAGCCCA